rfam:Schistosoma margrebowiei strain Zambia genome assembly, scaffold: SMRZ_scaffold0000641
GAUGGUGAACUAUGCUUGUGAAGGUUGAAGCCAGAGGAAACUCUGGUGGAGGACCGUAGCGAUUCUGACGUGCAAAUCGAUCGUAUAACGUGAGUAUAGGGGCGAAAGACUAAUCGAACUAUCUAGUAG